rnacentral:rRNA from 1 species
CCUACGGGGGGCAGCAGUGAGGAAUAUUGGUCAAUGGGCGAGAGCCUGAACCAGCCAAGUCGCGUGAGGGAGUACUGCCCUAUGGGUUGUAAACCUCUUUUGUCGGGGAGCAAAAGCCGGACGUGUCCGGCUGUGAGAGUACCCGAAGAAAAAGCAUCGGCAAACUCCGUCCCAGCAGCCGCGGGAAUACGGGGGAUGCGAGCAUUAACCGGAUUUAUGGGGUUAAAGGGGGGCGCAGGCGGAUUUUUAAGUCAGCAGUAAAAUCGUGGGGCUCAACCCCGUCGAGCCGUUGAAACUGGGGAUCUAGAGUGAGCGAGAGGUAUGCGGAAUGCGUGGUGUAGCGGUGAAAUGCAUAGAUAUCACGCAGAACCCCGAUUGCGAAGGCAGCAUACCGGUGCACAACUGACGCUCAGGCACGAAAGCGUGGGUAUCGAACAGGAUUAGAUACCCUGGUAGUC